AUUGAACGCUGGCGGCAUGCUUUACACAUGCAAGUCGAACGGUAACAGGGUGCUUGCACCGCUGACGAGUGGCGAACGGGUGAGUAAUGCGUCGGAACGCACCGAGUAAUGGGGGAUAACGCAGCGAAAGCUGUGCUAAUACCGCAUACGCUCUGAGGAGGAAAGCGGGGGACCUUCGGGCCUCGCGUUAUUCGAGCGGCCGACGUCUGAUUAGCUAGUAGGUGAGGUAAGAGCUCACCUAGGCGACGAUCAGUAGCGGGUCUGAGAGGAUGAGCCGCCACACUGGGACUGAGACACGGCCCAGACUCCUACGGGAGGCAGCAGUGGGGAAGUUUGGACAAUGGGCGCAAGCCUGAUCCAGCCAUGCCGCGUGUCUGAAGAAGGCCUUCGGGUUGUAAAGGACUUUUGUCAGGGAGGAAAUCCUUAGCGCUAAUACCGUUGAGGGAUGACAGUACCUGAAGAAUAAGCACCGGCUAACUACGUGCCAGCAGCCGCGGUAA
rnacentral:rRNA from 1 species